AAAUUGAAGAGUUUGAUCAUGGCUCAGAUUGAACGCUGGCGGCAGGCCUAACACAUGCAAGUCGAACGGUAACAGGAAGCAGCUUGCUGCUUUGCUGACGAGUGGCGGACGGGUGAGUAAUGUCUGGGAAACUGCCCGAUGGAGGGGGAUAACUACUGGAAACGGUAGCUAAUACUGCAUAACGUCGCAAGACCAAAGAGGGGGACCUUAGGGCCUCUUGCCAUCGGAUGUGCCCAGAUGGGAUUAGCUAGUAGGUGGGGUAA
rnacentral:rRNA from 1 species